rnacentral:tRNA from 5 species
GUAAGGCAACGGGUUUUGGUCCCGCUAUUCGGAGGUUCGAAUCCUUCCGUCCCAG